rnacentral:misc_RNA from 1 species
GAUUAAGAACGUAGCGAAAUGCGAUAAGUAAUGUGAAUUGCAGAAUUCAGUGAAUCAUCGAAUCUUUGAACGCACAUUGCGCCCGCCAGUAUUCUGGCGGGCAUGCCUGUUCGAGCGUCAUUUCAACCAUCAAGCCCCCCGGCUUGUGUUGGGGACCUGCGGCUGCCGCAGGCCCUGAAAAGCAGUGGCGGGCUCGCUGUCACACCGAGCGUAGUAGAUCUCAUCUCGCUCAGGGCGUGCUGCGGGUUCCGGCCGUUAAACCACCUUCAUAACCCAAGGUUGACCUCGGAUCAGGUAGGAAGACCCGCUGAACUUAAGCAUAUCAAUAAGCGGAGGA